AACGAGUUAACUUCGUCCUGACGAACGCGGAGCCUCCGCCACAACGCUGCCAUUAACUGGAUUUUCCCUCACAAAGAACAUGUUGGCUCCUGCCACCAAGAAUUCGACCCGUCAUGGCAGCGGAGCGGCUGGCUUCGAGCUUUGGCCGAAAAACGCACUGCUGAUUUCUUACUCAGUGAUAGCAGACCCUUCAGAGACAAAGAAGCUUCAUCAGGGGCUCCUUUUCUUGCUCCAAUGGUUGCCGGAACCACGUCUCGUCUCAAGUGCUCGUCAUUAGCAGAACCAUGAAGAGCAAUUCAUUAAAACGCUUC